UACGGAGGGAGCUAGCGUUGUUCGGAAUUACUGGGCGUAAAGCGCGCGUAGGCGGCUUUGUAAGUUAGAGGUGAAAGCCCGGGGCUCAACCCCGGAACUGCCUUUAAGACUGCAUCGCUUGAAUCCAGGAGAGGUGAGUGGAAUCCCGAGUGUAGAGGUGAAAUUCGUAGAUAUUCGGAAGAACACCAGUGGCGAAGGCGGCUCACUGGACUGGUAUUGACGCUGAUGUGCGAAAGCGUGGGGAGCAAACAGG
rnacentral:rRNA from 1 species